CUCUCAUUGGGAAGAAUUUUUCUUCUCCAAUUUUUUACUGUAAAACCAGCAAGAGAAGCCCUCUUUGAUGCCCAAGAACUAGCAACAAAAGAUUUUAAAAAACUUUCAACAGGGGAGGAGAAGAGGGAUGGCAUCAUGUGGAAUUGGGGCAUCCAAGAUGGUGUCAUAUGGAAUUAGGGCAUCCAACUCUCGGACGCCCCUUCUUGAUUUUACUUUGAGACAUGGAGAAAGGGGGAUGCCUCCUUUUCUCUCAUAAAAGGC
rnacentral:lncRNA from 1 species